ACUUUUGACUGGUACUCUACUUUUGGUCAUGUAGUGUAACUAGCUAGAUACACGUUACCUAAAUAUCCAUGCGCUGGUGGGCUGACGUUAGCUAGAAUGUCACCACGUGGAAAAGUGUGACUACGUGAACGGUGAGCUAGCAUUAAUUAACUAGCUGGCUAGCUAUUGUAGCUCACACAGGACUUGUUGGCUCAAUGUUUCCCAUAGAAAACACAUGGUUUUGUUCCACGAGUGCAUAUGUUGCACAUGAUUUAAACAAAUUCCCUGUGAAAUCAGUUAUACAUGUCAGCAGGGAUGGAAAUUAAGCUAGCCCGAGGCUAAUAUUUUUCCGACUGGGCUAGUAGAAAAUGGGCCAAACUAGCUUGACACAGCAGUAACAUUUUGCCUUUACAAACAUCAAAUACCACAGAAUUUAGGACCUGAAUGUUACCCGUGCUAGUAGAAAUCACGGACUGCUGGCCAUUGCCCCAAAUCCCUGCAUGUCAGUCCCUUUCAGACACCCCCCCCCCCCCCAUCACUGUUGAUCCUCCUUAGUGACCUCACGGCUUAGGGUUUUAACUUUCCACUUGAGAAUUAGAAUCAGAAGUACAGUAGUAUAGCUCAUCGCAAUACUUCACCUCAUUGGGCAAAUAGUACCCUAGACUGUCCUGUCAGGGGAUUGGACCGGAAACCCAGUGACAACACUCGGAUCUGCAGUUACCAUUUUCAUGAUGGGAAAGAGAAAUGGCCCUGUAUUUACCAGACAAGGUGUCUCAUCCACCAUGGCAGAAGAGGAAGAUCCAGACUGUUAAUUUCGGAGGAAAUAACAAACAAUGGGGCAUGAGGAUUGGGAGAUGAGGGACAACUUGUCACAUUGUCCAAGUCCCAACAGGAGAGGUUCCCUCAGACCAUCCGGUGCAUAGACAUCCUGUUCCAGUGUGAUCCGAGAGCGAGCGUCCAGUUUUAGAGACUACAGCAGAUCGAGCCUGUGGACGGACAGACAUGAGGCGUGACAUGCGGAACAUCAGGCUCCACCCACGAGAAGCAUGAUCAAUGUCACCCUCAGCAAGGUGAUCUGCUGGAAGUGAUGUACUCUCUCACUCUGGGGGUACAGGCAGGGACGACUGGGGCCUUCAGCAAGUAAGACACGGGGUACGAAAUAAUUUGAACAUCACAGAUAUAAAUUCCCACUGUGCCCAUGAUAAAGUUAACUACAUUACUUUAGUUGGCUGCUUUGAGCAAAACUUCUAGGAGCCUUGUGUGUGAACUAUGUGGAAUAUCUUUGGACCAUUGUCUUCCCUGAAAACGGGUACUGACAGCAGGAGCAAUAUGUGUCUGUCAGAGGUUGUUACGCUGGAUGGGGACGGAUGCUUUGGUGGUCUAAACAAUGAAGAAGCAGGUGUCGCUUCCAGGGAUGUGGAGCUGACCUUUGACCUGGUGCCUGUAAGGAUGGUCUUUACAGAGGCGGUAAGAUCCUCCCUCCUUGAUAUAGAAAUAAUUUCAACUUCACUGCCUCCUCAACGGUAAGAUCCCUUGCAUCAUAGGGAUCUACCAUACCUACCAGACCAUCCAAUGAGGCACCCAGGAUCCCAGACCUCGUGACCCAAAGCCCUGACUCCUGCACAUCCAUCCCUGUAGCCAUUUUGAAUGCCUUGAUGCCCUCCUUUUUGUUAUCUCUGCCCCACUUUACAGACAUCACACCCAUCCAAUGACUGUGAUCUGAGGACCCAUUUUAGCAGCGACGGAGUAACGCGCUUGGAUCUAACUGCUCCGUAAUUGCUGGCCGUCAACCUCCCUCUCCUCAUGGUGUGCCAUGUUGGGGUUGCUGUGCUGUCCAACUGACAGCGCCAUGCCAACCAGGAUGCCUGCAUGCCGCAGGUGCCUUUGUUAUUAUUUUUUUAACAAUGUCUGGUACAGACUGGGAUGACAGGGAGGGUAGCGGUUGUUCUGGCUCAGGUUCAAGGAGCCAUGCCAUUCCACUGAACCUGCCCCGGAGACGGUUCCUUAGCCACUGAAGAUCGUGCUCUGUGGGCUUUCGGGACAGAGGGUUGUAGUCUUCGGCCAGGUACAGAUCCCCCACUGAGUGCAACUGGUUGGGCCACUGCUGGCUUCCUCCACUGGCAUUCCACAUCAGUACGGCCGAUAUUGUGAACCGUUAAAAUAGGCUGCAUGGCUACACUGGUGAUCUACAUGGGGUCAUUCUCAUGUGGUAGAGAGAAUUCUCCUAUUUCUCCUAUUUACUUAACUUUCCAUUGCAGAAUAUAUUCCUCACCUUUUCUGGUCGCGACGGGUUCAUAUUCCCGAAGGAGCCGUUCAACAAAUUACCAUGUACAUCUCUCAUUUAAUUGGACCAAGUAGGCUACGAAAUAGAUCAAUUAUAUGUAUUUGAAGUUUUGCAAUAUCAUAGGCAGCGCGGUAUAUAAUAUCGGUAUACAGUCACAUUUAACAGCAGAUCUUUUAUAUUGAAGUCGCCUAUGUACUGUAUCAAGUUAGUUUCUAGUUUUUAUUGUCGCGUGCACAAGUACAGUGAAAUGCCUUUUUCUUGCUCGCUCAUUCCCGGCAAUCCAGCCUGGGAGACGCACAAUUGGCCCAGCGUCGUCCGGGUUUGGCCGAUAUAGGCCUUCAUUGUAAAUAAGAAUUUGUUCUUGACUGACUUGCCUAGUUAAAUAAAGGUUAAAAAAUGUAAACAAUUUAGCAAUGGACAUCAGUAGUACUGUAAAGACAUAUAUACAAAGUCAACUAGAAGAGAAAUAAAAUUAAAAUAAAACUGUGACUACUGUAAGUACUGUAAUUGAAAAAACAAUGUGCCCUAUAACAUUUCAGAAUUCGUGGGCCAUCAUCAUAUUUAGGUUGGGGUAAAAGUUGAUAUAAAACUUUCUACUAACUUUCUGCUUAAAUAAAGGUGAAAUAUAUAUUUUUAAACUGACACAACAAUUUGCCUUGAUUCUGUCGUUCAGAAACUGACAGUCAUUUUCCAAAUACAGUGUAAACUACUGCAAAGAUUAAAACAUUCUGUCAACAACGUAAAUAGACAAGUCAUUUAUGUAAAAUUGUUUAAAUCAAAUAAAAUUGUAUUGGUCACAUACACAUAUUUAGCAGGUGUUAUUAGCCACCAUAAUCCUGGCUGCUGACUCUGUGACCUAGCCACCAUAAUCCUGGCUGCUGACUCUGUGACCUAGCCACCAUAAUCCUGGCUGCUGACUCUGUGACCUAGCCACCAUA